rnacentral:lncRNA from 1 species
CUAGACUCUAAUGUCUGGGGAGAAGCGCCGCUGAACACGAAAGGAACCCCCACCUCCCAUUGUUUCUAUCUCCUUCAACAGAAGCCCUCCGUCGUUUUGCAAUCAAACACAAAUGACCCCCCCCUAAUCGUCUUCUUCAACUCUUCUUCUCACCGGUCAAUGGAGAACUUGCCAGAAAACACAUCUACCUCCAUCGCCACUGCUCCUUCUUCUUCGUCCAUCACAGCUACAACAACCAUGAAACCUGCUUGAAUCCUCCGUGAAACAGUCCAAAAAGCCACCAUUCAAACAAAAGAUAAAAGGAAAAAGAACAAAUCGAGAGAAAAUAGCAGUGAUGAUAUUCAGUCCAAAAACAGAACCAUGAAACCCCAAUAUGAAUCAAUUCCAGAUUUCGUGUCUUCAAUGCUCAGAAACCAGCCGUUUAAGUCUGACAUUCUGGUUCAUGUUUGAGCUUUCUUUCAAGCUUUAGGGUCGUCGAUGGUCGUUGUCUAGGGAGGCUCUAUUUCAGUCGUGCGUUGAUGUGCCAUUUGAUUGGUUUUCGGUUGAAUUCCGUCCGGGGUUCUAACGUUUGGAGGUCCGUCUCUUUCCUCCUCUUUGGUUACCUGUGAGAUGGUUUUAAGCAUGACAUUGAUUUUUUACAUUUGUUUGAGUCAUUGAGUCUUUCAAGUUGGUCUUAGAAUCUCUUAAUACACAAAGUGUUUGUUGUCGAUUUUAGUUGAAAUUGAAUAAUUUGUGUUAUGUUUGAGCUUGACGGUUUAAUGAGAAAGCAUUCUAUAGUUUAAAUUUUAAAUUAGUUUGAGGUCAGAUUGCCAUAUGAAUUAGUGCUUAAAAUAUUUUGCAAUGUCCAUAAUGUUAGUGCUUAAUUACAGUGAUGGGUUUCUCUUCCAAUGCAAGUUAAUAUUUGGCCAUUUUCUUGUCUAAAUUAGGUACUGUUAGUUUUAAAGGGACAAUAUUAUGCUUCAGGUUGCUUUUAUUUGCCUUGUUAUUCUCAUCGUUUCUUAUUUAUUUAUUUUGCGUUUUGUUUUCUCUGAAUACCAUAUGUUUCAUUGUGUGUGUAUCUCUUAUUGAUUAAAUAUGAGGCCAAAAAUCAGAACUUUGCUAGCCGCUAUAAUUUUGAAUAUUGAUAAUAAUAAGAUAAAGAUGUUAUAAACCCGGGUGUACAUUUCAUGUGACCCGAUUCUAAUUUCCAGCAAGGUUAAAUAGGACGUGUCGUGAACCACGGGUGCAUUUCAUGUGGCGUGGCUUGCGAUAUGUUUUAAAUAACCUUGAAUCUUUCUGAAAUAUUAAAAACGGCUAAAAAGUUAAACAAUGCACAUAGGUUUAAAAGUGUUUUAAAAUCAGAUAAUUAGGCAAAUAAUAACAGUUGAGCGACCGUACUAAAACCACGGAAUCCGGGAAUACCUAACACCUUCAUCCGGGUUAAUAGAAUUCUUUACCCGGAUUUCUGUGUUCGCGGACAGUAGAAUAGAGUCAAUCUUUCCUCGAUUCGGGAUUUGAACCGGUGACUUAGGACACCAUAAAUUAUCCCAAGUGGUGACUCUAAAUUUAAAUAAAUAAAUAAUCUCGUUUCGAUUGUCACUUAAAUUGGAAAAAACUCUCUUAUACCCUUCUGGGGUGUAGGUUAAAAGGAGGUGUGACAGGCCUCACUCAGUCCGAAAAUCAUCACAAGCCCCUCGGGCAUUAGUAAAGCAGUAGUUCUCAGCCCAAAACAUCAUUUAGAAAUAUCAUUUAAGUUUCAAAUAUGAGUAAUAAUGGUUGAGUUUGUAAAACAGUAAAUAUCAACAGGACUGAGUUCAAGUAAUAAGUCAAAACAGUGAGGAAAUAGUGAUAAAAAUACCCGGAGGGUUCAAAUAGUUAGCACGAAGCCCAAAUAUGGCAAUCAGCCCAAAUCAUGAUGCUAACAAACAGGUUUCAGUCAAAUACGCAGUAAAAUCAUCAAUUGGGAUGGACCAAGUCACAAUCCUCAAUUGUAAACAACCCCACACUCAUUAUUAGCGCGUGUCUCACCUUAAUAUAGCACUACGAUGUGCAAUCCGGGGUUUUAAACCCUUAGAGUAUCAUUUACAAUCAUUACUCACCUCGAAUCGGCUAAAUCUCUAGCUCGCGACGCCUUUGCCCCUAAAAUCGGUCUCCACGCGCGUCGAAUCUUUCCAAAAUCAGAAUGAAUACGUCACAAUAUGCUAAGGGAACAAAGCCCAAGCAAAAACAAUCAGAAAAUACCAAAAAUUCCGAAAUUAGCAAAACCCAAGCCCCGGGCCCACUUCUCGAAACUCAAAUAUUUUCACAUCAUUAGAUUCCUUUCUCCUCACGAGUUCAUACAUAUCAAAUUUACCAAAAUCUGACCUCAUAUGGUCACUCAAAUUCUAAAAAUUCACUCUCCAAUUUCAAGCCCUAAUUUCCCAACUCUUCUUCUAAAUUCAACAAAUUUUCAUGAUUAAACAAUGUUAUAAUCACCAUAAAUACAAGGUAUAAAUCCCAAGUAGCUUACCUCUGCGGAUACACUUGAUCCCCUCUUGAAAUCACAGCUUGGAGCUCCAAAAUCGCACAAAAAUGAUGAACAAAUGACUUAAAAUCACGAAAGGGAAUUUUUAUACCAUCUGCCCAGCCCUUUCGUACUUGCGAUCCAGUAAGCGCAUAUGCGCUUCCGCUUCUGCGAAUUUCACUUAUGAGUCAGGACCCAUUUCUGCGGUCCAAAAGCACACCUGCGGUACCGCAUAUGCGGUUCUCCCUCCGCUUCUGCGAAAAUCACUUGCCGACCAAAUCUCGCAUCUGCGAUCCUUUCCCCACAUUUGCGGCUUCGCAGAUGCGGUCCACAUAGCCGCUUCUACGGUCUCAGCCCAUCUGAUCCUUUUUUGCUUCUGCGAUGAAUCACCUGCAUCUGCGGUCUGCAAAAAUACCAGAAGCUGCAAAUCUGAAGCUACAACCAACAUCUAACUUCUCUGAUAACCAUCCGAAAUCAUCCCGAAGCCCCCAGGACUUCAACCAAAAGUACAAACAUAGCCCAAUACCUUAUUUAAACUUGUUACAAUCAUCAAAACACCUCAAACAACAUCAAAUCUACCAAAUCAUAUCGAAUUCAAGCCUAAGUUUCUAAAAAUCUUCUGAAAUACUCUUUUGAUAAAAAACCCAACCAAAUCACGUCCAAAUGACCCGAAAUUUUGCACACACAUCCCAAAUGACACAAUGAAGUUACUGUAACUCUCGGAAUUCCAUUCUGACCCUUAUAUAAAAAUCUUGCCUAUCAACCGGAAAUCGCCAAAAUAUCAAUUUCGCCAAUUCAAGCCUAAACCUACUCUGGACAUCCAAAACCAAUUCCGAUCAUGCUCCUAAGUCAUAAAUCACCCAACGAAGCUAACAAAAUCAUAAAAAUUCCGUUACGAGCUCAUAUACAAAUAAGUCAACUCUUGGUCAAACCUUUCAAUUUCAAAGCUUUCAUCUGAGACUGUUCUUUCAAAUUCAUUCCGAUUUUCCAGAAAACCAAAACCAACGAUCUACAUCAGUCACAAUACAUUACUCGGGGCAAGUCAUGCCCGAGAACUGGCAAUCAAAGUGCAAAAGCUCAAAGCGACUGGUCUGGUCGUUACAUCUGUAAAGACAAAUAGAGAACUACUAGUUCAAAUAGUCUCUAGUAAGAAAAUCAGGAAGGGUAUUAUCAGACCCUUUUUUGUAUAUAAUUUCGAAAUCAAAAGGGGAUAAUAAAUCUUGCCCCCUUGCAAACAUUUGUUUAGACACAUCAUGUUUGAAAUCUUUACUAAAGAUAAAUUUUGCUGCUUGGCAAUCAGUUUUAAUCAACAAUUUUUGAUUGUAUAAAUUAGUCUGAAAUUUCAUAACACAUUUGACAAUAGCAAGAAUUUCUUUAGCUACAGUCGCAUAAUUUUUCUGGGAACCAUUCCACUUACCAGAAUAAAACUGAACAAGAUAUUCUUGUUUAUCUAUUAGAGAACAUUAUUUCAAUAUCCCACCAUAACCGAUAUCAGAGGCAUCAGUUUCUACAACCUUUGCCCAAGUGGGAUUAGCAAGAGUCAAACAAGGAAGGUUAUUAACCUUUUGUUUAGUUCUCUUGACUGCUUCAGUAUGACUCUCAGUCCAAGCGUUAGGGUUCUUCUUUAGUCUUUCAUAAAGAAGAGCUGUAUCCUUAGCUAGAUCCUUUAUAAAAGGAGAAAUAUAAUUUAAGCUUCCUAAAAAUCGUUGAACAUGGGUUUUAUCAGUAAUAAUAUCAGGGAACUUAGAAGCAAAUUCAGUACUUCUAUUAAUAGGAAUGAUCCUACCCUUCUCAAUGUUAUGACCCAAAAAUCUAACAGAAGUUUGGAAAAUCAUCAUUUUUGGUUUUGAUAUAACUAAAUCAUUCUGAAUAAUAAUGUUUUUAAACAAAUCAAGAUGUUUGAAAUGAGACUCAAUUUUUUUUGAAAAUACUAAGAUAUCAUCAAUAUAAACAAUUAUAAAAUCCGUAUAAGGAAGGAAAAUAUCAUUCAUAAUUUUUUGAAAUUCAGAAGGAGCAUUUUUCAAUCCAAAGGGCAUAACAUUCCAUUCAUAUUGACCCAUUGGAACAUUGAAAGCCGUUUUAUACCUAUCUGAUUCAGAUAUCUGAAUUUGUCAAUAACCUGAUUUUAAAUCAAAUUUUAAAUAUAAUGGCAUCAUGCAAUUUGUUUAAUAAAUCCUUUUUAUUAGGAAUAGGAUAUCUAAUCCAUUUUAAAACCUUAUUAAGGGUCUUGUAAUUAAUGACUAAUCUAGGAACUCCUCGUUCCUGUUCAGCAUGCUUAUUUACAUAAAAAGCAGUACAAUACCAUUUGAACUUUGAGAGCCUAAUUAAACCCUUCUGCUGCAAGGAAUCAAUUUUCUUUUUGCAUAACUCCAAAUAAUCAGAGUUCAUUUGACAAGGUCGAGCCGUGGUAGAGAUAUUAUCCUCAAAAAAGUCUUCUUCAUAAGGAAGACUUAUAAUGUGCUUCUUCCUACUCCAAAAUUGGCUUGGAUGGUCACCACAAAUAGAAGCAGAAAAUUGAUUUUUGAGAAAAUUAAUUUUUUCUACUAACUUAGGCUUUUUUAAAUACUGUACAAUGCUGAUGGAACAAAUCAUAUUUCUCAAAAAUUCAAUUNNNNNNNNNNNNNNNNNNNNNNUACCGGUAAAACUUUUUGUAUCCCAAUAUAAAAAAGGCAUUAAUUUAAUAAAAAAUGGGACACCAUGUAUUACAUCCCCAUCAAUAUCUUUUACCAAUACAAAACUUUCAGGAAUACAGGUAUCCUGUUGGCAAAUAUAAGCCCUAGGUAAUUUGUAUGAAAUACCCAUUGCACCACCACUAGCAUUAUUUAAACGGUGAGUGGUUUUAUGAAAAUAUCUGGAGGGUAUUACUCCUUCUUUUACACAAUAUAAAUCUACUCCACUAUCAAAUAAAGCAACAAACUCUUUUUUUAAAUUAUAGUCAAUUAAAAGUGUUAUUUUUAUUAAAAACUUUUGGGUGAUAAAAUAUAGCAGUUUUUCUAGAAAUUCAUCUUCAGAAAAGUCCAUAGCUGCAAGCAAAGUAUUAGCAGUAUUUUCUUCUGAAGAACUAGCCGUAGUAUUUAUCUCAGUAAUCUUGAUACUGGGAUCUGCUUGGCAGAAUUCUCUAAUUUGAAAAUCCUUUCAUCUAAGACUACUUUUGAAGCCUUUAAUUCCGAGAUUUCUUUCUUGAGAUAAUUUAUCUCAGUACUUAAAUCUUGGACAGCAGCAAGCCUUUCAGGCUGAGACUUGUUUUUCACCAUUUUUGUGAUUUCAGACAUGGUGUAAGGUCCUUUUUGAGAUGGAAUUUCUUCCACCUCUGUUCCUGCUUCUGAACUAGUAGGAAGUUUAUCAAUAAGUUGGGACCUUAAUUCAGGGUCUUUAAUAACCCUUAGAAGAUCAAUCAUAUUAUCAUUAGAUAGAACAUUGAUCUUCAAGUCUCUAAAUUGAGAGCAAAUAUUAAAAAGUUCAUCGUCGGUAUUGCAACAAUGAUUUGAGCAUUGUCCCUUAUUAUAGAACUCUUGCUCUUCUUCAGAAGAUGAAGUAUAACUUUCUUCAUGAAGGACCCUUAGGUCUUCACUUGUUGAUGAAUUAUCUUCAUCAGUGUCCGAUAUAUCUGGGGAAGAAUUUAAAAUAAUCUUGCAUAAAAAAUCUUUAAUAUGAUCGUCUAAAUCUAAUUCCUUGAUCUUAUCCUUAAUUUUGCAAUCCUUUGCAUAAUGACCUACUCUUCCCCAUUUAUAACAGGCAUGAGGGUUUUUUGGUUUAAUAAAACCCUUUCUGGCUUUAUGAAAAGCCUUUGUUCUUUGGGUCUUUACAUGCCGUUUCUCCAGCGAACCCUUGUUCCUUUUGAAAUCCUUUUUAUGGGAUUUCUUCUUCUUAGAAGGUAUAUCAAUGGCGAAAUGUUCACAGAAUUCACCUAAUUGUUGUCUCUCAGUGAGACAAUAUUUCUUAGUUUGUUGGUUUAGCUUGAUCUCAUAACACAGAGCUAAACCUUCCUGAGUGCAUAGACUAAAGAGUUUACCAUAUGAGUAAGUAUCAUAAUUGAUACUCAUCCCUGUGCCUCUAAUGAUUUUUCGAAUCCUUUCAGCAAAUAAGGGAGGGAGUCCAUCAAUAAAUUUAGACUUCCAAUGAGUACUAUUACUUUCUAGUAAUUCCAUCACUCUGGAUAAGAAAACAUAUUUAUACCAUCGAAAAGAUGUGAUGGUUUUACACCUCAAAUUCUGGAGCAUCGUUCUAAUGGUCUUACUAUUAUCAGACCAUCUUCCAGAAAAGUGUUCGAUGAUGUUCAUGACUAAAGAAUAGACUGAGUUUUGAAUAGUCUUAUCCUCUUCAGUCUUGGUUGCGUUCAUUAUUUGAAAACGCUGGCCAUGAGUGAGAUAAUUAUCCCACCAGCCUUUCAGCUGGCCAGUAAAUCCGGCAAUAAUCAUUUCUACAAUUUCCCUAUCUAUAUUCUUAUUAACCUUACAGAUAGUACUGUACAUAAGCAUUCUAUGUACUAUAGUAUAGAUCUGUCUUUCAACAAGACCAUCUAUAUUCCAUUCAUAGAUAUCUGACUCACUAUAACCCUAGUGAUAAUGGUCAUUGUCCUGUUCUUCUAUUAGGACAUCUUGGGGGUAGGUCUAGGAUAGUAAAACAUUUUCUGGUAUGGUUUUCGAGCAUACUUUUCAGAGAUUUUAUUAAUCUCGUCGUCUACCUUCAGAUUGCUAGUAGACGCAUGCUCUAAAGUUAGAGGGCUAGCUCUAAAUUCACCUUACUUCUUAACAAGAAGUUCUUCAAUAUUCUCUAAACUUAGGUUAUCCAGACUUUUCAAUUUAAAGUCCUUUACCUCAGGAGGUGGUUGGACACUUGUAGUAGUGAUUUGAUCUUUACCUUUAGUAUCCUUCUGUUGGAUUUUUUGGACCUCAGCUAUAAGCUUGUCCAAUUUCUCAUGAAUUUUGAUAGCCUGUUCACCCAAAUACUUACAUACAUAUUAGUAUAAUUGUUCUGAGUAAGCAUAGUAUUCAGGUUCUUCGCAGUUAUAGCAGCAACAUCAUUUUCAAAUAUUUUUGAAAAAAGUAAUGCAGUAAAUAAUCUUAUCUUUUUCCCCUAUAUGAAAAGAUUGUUGGGGUGGAAAAAUAGAAUUAACAAUAUUUCCAUUAGUGAGCGUAUAAUCUCUUUCUAACACAGAAACAUAGUUAUAAACAUGUUUUGACAUAAACCAAGGAACAAAAGCAAUAAUCUUAUUUUUUUUGCUAAUAUCCCCAUAAAAUCAUUUCUAAACAAUUGUAUUAAUUUAGGAGUCAUGUUUUCAUGAAAUCAUUUUCUGAAAACAACCCAUUUGGAUUUUAGAAAUUCUUCUAAAAUCAUUUUUCUUGCCGGUGAACCCGGACUAAAAUCUAUUUGGUUUUCAAUCAUUUUUAAAACCAUUUGUAAAAUUCAUAUCGGAUGGAGUAGGUUCAAAAUCUGCAGUAUUAUUAAUCUUGACAAUAUUAUCACUACUGAUGCUGAUAUCAUUAACUCUAUUAUUUUCUCUAAUUUGAGAUGUGGAUGCUCUAGAUGGAAAAUCUACCACGUAAUCAAUUGGAGAAAUAUAUGAAUAGCUUGAUCUAGUUAAUCUAGAUAAUAAACUGAUAUUAUCAGUUUGCUCAGGUUCAUUGAACCUGAUUUUAACAGUGCCAUCUGAGGUUUGUUUUAUUUCUGUAACCUCAGUAUUACUAGUGUUUCGAGGGGCAACUGCUUCCUCUAUGACCCAUUCCUUAGGGAAAUCAAUUUCAUCCCAUUUGAUAGGUCUUUUGGUGUUUACUUUGGAUUUACCAAAGUUGGUUUCUAUAAGAAUAGUUUCAUUUUUGAAAUCCAUAAUUUUUCACAUAGGAUUCAAAGUAUAUAACGGUUUGAAAUAAAUCCUAUAGCAGAUGCAUAUGACUUCUGUACUAGGCAAACAAUUAUAACCAUGUAAUAUAAUGCUAAGUAUUAAAGCAUUCAAAGAAUUCUCAUCAUUAAGAGAAAUCUGCAAAUUAGGAAUACAUUAAAAUAAACAGGGCCAUAGGCCAAACUGGUUUGCACAGUCCCUAUGAGAGACUUUUUCCAGUCCUGGUUUCUGCCAUCUCUAAGAGCUGCAAUAGAGCUUUCAGGUAAGCCUCUUAAAGUAAGUGGCUUAAAGGCAACUUGUAUUAAACCUAUAUGUAUAAAUCUAUAUGAAUCCCUAUAAGGGACUAAAUCACUUUCAGAUAAUAAUCUGAACGUAGCAUGAUCACUAUCUACAGUGAUAGUCUCUUCAGCAGUUUUAACUACCUGUUUUAAACCUAUUCUUUUAAAGGUACCUAACUGGUAUAUUACAUUAGGUUUGAUUAAUGGGAUAGUCCACUUAUUAAGAAGGUCUAAUUGUUGAGGUAAUUCAUACUCCUCUUUCCUACUGUUUUUAACAGCAGUCUUCUUCCUAAUGAUAUUCAUUAAGAAAAUAGUGUUAAACUUAGUCUCUAAUGUUUUUUACUAACAUGGCUCUGAUACCAAGGGGGUACAGGAUCGCUUCCGAAUGAGGCUCGGGAAAUGAAUUACAAGAAUUUCAGCCCUAGCUAGCUACUAACCUCUAGGCAAACCUUAAACCACGAUGCUCCUCACAACCCUUCAACGGCCACCUGCCUAACGGGUUUACGAGCACCACCGGUUAGGUUGGCCUAACCAAGGUUUACUAUCGAGAAUAGUAACUGCCUGGUUUAUAUAGUUCUUAACCCAAAACCUCAUCGGAGUUAUACAGUAGACUCCUAGCUACGAAACAUGCAUAGUAAACAACCUUCGAAUACUAAGUCUAACACUUACAUGUUUACCCGAUCAUUUAGGCCAACAGUGCUACAAAAAUGAAAGAGGGAAGGAGAAGAACAGUACCAGACCAAAGACCCUUUGUUGUGGCCAAGUGACCUUUUUGAUUUUUAUUUCUGAAUUGAAAAUAUUACAAAAGGGGUUUUUUACAAGUAGAGAGAGAAACUAGAGAGAAGUCAGAGCGUUUUGUAAUGCCUUGGCUAAUGCCUACUUCUCUGAAUAAUAAAAUGAUCGUUAUAUAAUGGAUCGGUCUACAAACAAACAAAACUAAAAAGUAAAACUGGCCAACAAAAUAAUUACAGGUGUGGCCGACAAGAUAAAAAAAGUUCUAUAAUUAAGUCCGAACAAACUACUUUAUAAAAGUAGAAUCCCUUCAAUAAUGGAGGGGCCCGUUAGUUUAUUAAAGUCGUCUUUACUACCCCAAUAAUUUAUCUAUUGGGGCCUUCAAUAAUUCAGACUUUGCUUUUCCCUUUGUCGUUUUUCACCAAAGAUUCUUCGGCACUUUCCUUCAGCUUUGUAAGGAAAUCUUCAAUUUCUUCAAUAUUAAUUUUUGUGUCAGAGGGGCUCUGUGCUUCACCUGCUACACAUAUUCCUUCAUUUGAAGUGCUUUCAAUGGAGGUCAUAGAGAUAUCAUCUCUGACUGUUGUUUCAAAAUUUCUUACUAGAUCCUUCUUUAUUUCUUCAAAGUAUGAAGCAAGGAUCUCUUUCUUUGAUAUAGCUCCUUUCUUCAUUUGGAGCCGCUUUGUGAUCAUUUCAAAAGGACUUAAUUUUUCCUCUGCAACCUGUGUUCUGUCUAAUUUGACAGUCUUCUAUUUUAGCCUGUAUUUGUUGAAUCAAUUCUUCACCAUAUAACUUGCCUUGCUGAUUAGUCUGGAAUAACUUAGACCAAAACUUAUGAUAAAAAAUUCUGUUAAGGCAGGGAAUUCCUUCAUUGGUAUAACCGAUCUGUACAUCCCAUUUCAUUAUGCAAGGGAUUGAAAAUUCGAUAAAUAAAUACAUGGUAGCAAUACCAUUAUAAAAGAUAUUAUCAUUUUGUAAUGACAGAAUUUGGGAUAUAUGUCUACCCACUGAGAAUAUAAAGCUUUUAGUAGAGGGUUGAGUAUUUCUAAUGAUGGACCGUAUAACAUCCACCACUUGAAGAACCAAUUUGGAAUUUGUUGUCCGAACAUAUUAGGACAGAGUUUAAUAAACUAAGAAUGUUUCCUAUUAGGAUUUUCAUAAAGGAAAGUUUAAUUAAAACUCUCUACAUAGUCCCAAUAAUUGAACUUAACUGAUACCUUUUGGUUAGGAUAUGUGUAUUCACGAUCCUUGAGAGUACUGAUACCCCAUUCAUCAGAAGGUAUGACCUUCAUUAUUAUAAUCUUCAAAAAACUAUAAUUUUUCCUAGUAUUAUCAGGAUAAAAGUGCUGAAUUUCAACAGAUCCUGUUGUUGGGAGUAUAAUCUCAUAGUGCAUCCUGUAUUUAUAAGCAGGAGUAGUGUAUAACGCUGUAUCAAAAUACCUGGCCAUUAUUUUCCAAGGAUUAUCCUUCCAUUUAGGUCGGAUUGUUCCAAAAGAAUUAUUAACUCUUUUGUCUCUUUUUGAGUAUAAAACUCAAAAUUCUCAUUACUAUCCUCUGAUAUAACUGAGGAGUAGGUUGGUACAUUAGAUGUGGAUAAUGUACCUUCAUCUUUCUUGGAUUGUAUAAAAUCCAUGAAUUCUUUGUAUAAAGGAUGUUCGGUAUUACCUUCUGUUAUAUUGGCGGCUAUUAGCCUUUGAUUUCCAAUUUGGGCGAGAAUAUUAUUCCCUCUACCAUCGGUAGAUGCCCUACCUCUUCCUCGCUAUGACGACCCAAAGGGUCAUCACCUAUUUUUAAUUGUAUUAUGUGCUUCCUAGGCCUUGAAAACCUCAUUUAGAGUCACCUCAAUUUGUGUGCGCAGUCCGGGCACGUAGCCGGAAAGCUUAAAUAUGAAAUUUUGUAAAAAAUGAUGAAAUUUGAGUUUAAAAUGAAUAAAUUUGACUUCGGUCAAUAUUUUGGGUAAACGGACCCGGACCCGUGAUUUGAGGUCCCGGAGGGUUUGUAGGAAAAUAUGGGACUUGGGCGUAUGCCCGGAAUCAAAUUCCGAGGUCGCGAUCCUGAGAAAUCAAUUUUUUAAAGGAAAUUAUUUUUCUGAAAUUAUUAAGAAAAAUUGAAAUGAAAUUUGAUUAGAACGUGUUGGUAUCAGGUCCGUAUUUUGGUUCCGAUGCCUGGUACAGGUCUUAUAUAUGAUUUAAGAUGUUUCUGUAAAGUUUGGUUAAAAUCGGACGUCGUUUGACGUGUUUCAGACUUGAAAUGCUAAAUUUGAAACUUGAUAAAGUAUUUGGAAAAAUUCUUGAUUUUGAGGUUUGAUUCAUUGUUUUUAAGGUUAUUUAGGUGAUUUGAUCACACUGAUAGGUUCGUACAAUGAUGUUGAGUUAGUGCAUGUGUUUGGUUAGGAUCCCCGAGGGCUCGGGAGUAUUCCGGAGGUGUUUCAUAGUGGUUUUAGACUUAUGAAAGUUGCAGGUUUCCAGUUCUGGUAUGGUCUUCUUCGCGUUCACGGGAGAACCCUUGCGAACGCGAUGAGUAAAUUUCCUGAAGGAAAUUCCCUUCUACGCGAACACGUAGACCAGGUCGCGAACACGAGGCAACGUGGGGCUAGACCUUCGCGAACGCGUUCCUGGCUAUGCGAACGCGAAGGCCAAGUGCCUGUGCAGGGGGAAUGGGUAGAACACCCUACGCGAACGCGAGGGCUCAAGGAGCAACAGCUUCGCGAACGCGAGCCCCUAUCCGCGAACGCGAAGGCCAAAAAGCCUGACCCAUAGCAAACACGAGAGGUCUAUCGCAAACGCGUAGAGUCAUUUUGCUCAAUUAUUUUAAAGUUCCAAAACAGAACCACAAACGGGAUUUCAUAACAUUUUCAUAAACCCUUUCUUCUUCAAAGCUCCUAGGCGAUUUUUGAAGCAUUUCUUCACCAAAGUUUCUUAGGUAAGCAUUGUUUAACUCGUUUUCUUCAUUUUCCAUCAACAUCUAUUGAAAUUCUAGGCCUAAAACAUGUAAUUAAGGGUAGAAAUUAGGGAAUUGGGUAGAGCUAGGGCUUUUUGAUUUUUCUUGAUUUAGACCUCGUUUUGGGGUGGAAUUUGAAAACAAAUUAUAUAUUCGGGCUCGUAGGUGAAUGGGUGAUCGGGUUUUGGUCUGAACAUCGUGUUAUGACGCAGCGGGACCAGGAUCAAUUUUUGGGAUUUUGGGAAGAAUGAUUGGAAAGUUAUAAUUGAACAUUGAAAUUGGAUUGUUUAGCACUUAUUGAUGAUAUUGAGUCAAUUGUGCAUAGAUUCGAUUGGGUUGGAGCCGAAUUUAAGAGGAAAACCGGUGUUCGAGGCUUGAGUUGGCCGUGGAAGUUCGAGGUAAGUGUUCGGUCUAACCUCAGUUUGAGGGAUUAGGAAUUGAGUCCUAUUUGCUACUUGCUUCUUGUUGAGUGUAACGUAUAGGCAUGGUGACGAGUAUCUAUACGUUGCUGUCGAGCAAGACCGUGAGUCUUAAAUUUGAACGUUGUUGUGCUCUCAUAUGGCACUUCAGAUGCUUUAAUUAAUGAUCUCCUAUAUUGAGUAAAGAUUGAUUUUAUCCUCGUAGAUCUUAGUUAUGAUUGAGUAUUGUCAUUAAUUGAGCCGAGUACAAAAUGAUUUAGGAUAUGGUUAUAGCUGAUUCUCCCUUGCCGGGAUGACUAUUUCGAUAUUGUUGUUCCCUUGCCGGGAAGUUAUUAUAUUGUUUUUGUUCCCUUGCCGGGAUUUCUUGAAAUUUGUGAUGACUUGUAAAUGGGAGCGGGUGGUACGCCUACCACAAGAUAUAAUGAAAUGAGAGCGGGUGGCCUACCACAAGAUAUAAUGAAAUGGGAGCGGGUGGUACGCCUACCACAAGAUAUAAUGAAAUAGGAGCAGGUGGUACGCCUACCACAAGAUAUAAUGAAAUGGGAGUGGGUGGUACGCCUACCACAAGAUAUGAUGAAAUGGGAGCAGGUGGUACGCCUACCACGAGAUAUAAUGAAAUGGGAGUGGGUGGUACGCCUACCACAAGAUGAAACUAAAAGUGAAAGUUGCUAUAUUUCUUUUUAUCCGCAUUAGAAGUUAAAUUGUAUUUUCCUUAUUAUUCUUUGAUAUUCUGUUUAUCUGCUACCCCCGAAGCAUGUUCCCUUUCCCCAACUUUGAUUGCUUAUUACUUGUUUACUUUUUCUGCCAUAUAUUAUAUAACUGCACAGGUUUAUCUGUAGUCUGGUCCUAGCCUCGUCACUACCUCGCCAGGGUUAGGACAGACACUUACCAGCACAUGGGCUUGGUUGUGCUAAUACUACACUCCGCACUCUGUGCAAAUACCAGAGUAGUUUUUGAUCAGCAGCAAUAGCUCGGGAGCCAGCCUUCAGUCCACGGAGACACCAACGUAGCCUUGCAGGCGUCCGCAGGCCUGACGUCUCCUCUAUCUUAUUUCAUAUUCUGUUAUCUCAUGUAUUAUAGACAAACCAUGCUAUAUUUAUUUCAAAUAGUUGUAUUUAGUACUCUUAGUAGUCUGUGGAUGUUGUGACACCAGGUUUUGGUUAGAGGCACGUGAUGGUCUUUGAGACAUUUUCAUUUUCUAUUUAUUUAAGACUUCCGCUAAAUUUCAUAUUUCGCUGUUAUGUAACUGUUUAUUUCCUUGUUAUUAUAAUUGGUAAGAAGUUUUAAAAUACGGGUCGUGACAAGUUGGUAUUAGAGCUCUAGGUUAUAUAGGUCUCACAAUUCACAGACAAGCUCAGUAGAGUCUGAGGGAUCGGUACGGAGACGUCUGUAUUUUUCCUCCAUAGGCUAUAGAGUUAGGAAAAUUUCACAUUUGUUCUUUCCUAUUGUGCGGUUUUAUUUCUCAAUACUGAUUGCCUUCCUACUCUGUUCUUUCGCAGAUGGAGAGAACACGCACUUCCUCAUCUACCGCUCAGCAGCCCGAGCCCCCAGCAGUAGCUCCUACGAAGGGCAGAGGACGAGGCCGAGGCCGUGCUAGAGGCUGAGGUAGAGGCAGAGCUCAGCCCCGAGCAGCAGCACCAGUGGCGGAGCCUCAUGUUGAUUUUGACGAGGAGGUUCUGGCCCCAGUGGUUCCGCUGGGCUCGGCUUAGGUCCCGAAAGGGUUUAUCGCUACCCCAGUUCUUCAGGAUGCUAUGAUCCGAUUAGUGGGCCUCAUGGAGAGUGUCACCUGAGUAGAUUUGCUUCCUGUAGCACCAGCCAUCUCUCAGGCUGGAGGAGGGGCUCAGACUCCUGCUAUUCGCUCUCCAGAGCAGGUGGCUCCUCAGAUUCAGACUCCAACAGUUUAGCUAGUUAGGGCAGUCCAGCCGGGUGUAGUAGCUCAGACCGGCGAUGGAGCAUCCAUGUCUGCCGAUGCUUUGUGGAGGCUAGGUAGGUUCACCAAGCUCUUCACUACUACUUUCAGCGGUGCUUCUUAUGAGGAUCCCCAGGAUUUUCUAUACAGUUGCCACGAGGUUCUCAGGAACAUGGGUAUUAUUAAGACCAAUGGGGUCGAUUUUGCUACAUUUCGCUUGUCUGGAUCUGCCAAGACUUGGUGGAGGGAUUAUUACUUAGCCAAACCAGCCGGUUCACCAGCAUUGACUUGGGAGCAGUUUUUAGUGUUGUUUCUGGAGAAGUUUAUCCCCAUUACUCAGAGAGAGACCUAUCGGAGGCAGUUUGAGCGCCUCCAAUAGGGUUCCAUGACUAUUACCCAGUAUGAGACCAAGUUCAUUGACUUAGCUCACGAUGCUCUUGUCAUACUUCCUACCGAGAGAGAGAGGGUGAGGAGGUUUAUUGAUGGUCUGAUUCAGCCGAUUCGUCUUCAGAUGGCUAGGGAGACUGUGAGUGAGAUCACCUUUCAGGAGGCGGCCAAUGGGCACGUAGAGUUGAGAUGGUUCUGUCGCAAGGAGGUGGUCAAGGGUCGGAUAAGAGGCCCCGUCACUCAGGCAGAUUUAGUGGUACCUCGUCUGGAGGUAGAGAUUUAUAUGGUAGAGGCCAUCCUCCUAGGCCCUUUCAGUCAGCUCUUCAGGUUUUUCACGGUGCUUCAGGUAGCUGUGGUCCUCCAAUGUAGUAUUCUGAUAAGCAGUCCUUCAGUGCACCACCAACACCUAUCAGUGCACCAUCGCUUCAGAGUUUCCAGGGUUGUCAGCCCCAGCAGCUGAGGACUUAUUUUACUUGUGGCAACACGAGGCACAUUUAUAGGUAUUGCCCUCGAGCUUUGAGCAGUUCUCCGCAUUAGGGUUCUCGUGCUAUGGUUCAUGCCCCAGGUGUUCCACAGGCCACCCAGCCAACUAGGGGUGGGGGUAGAGGUGCUAGAGGUGGAGGUAGAGGUCCUAAAGGUAGAGCUCAGGCCGCCAGAGGUAGAGGCCAGCCAGCAGCAGGCCGUCAUAGAGAGGUAGUUCAGGGUGGUGGGGCCCAGCCCCGACUUUACGCCCUUCUAGCUAGGCCCGAGGCUGAGGCUUCAGAUGUAGUCAUUACAGGUAUUAUUCUGGUUUAUGAUAGAGAUGCUUCGGUGCUAUUUGAUUUUGGAACUACGUACUCGUAUGUGUCAUCUUAUUUUGCAUCGUAUCUGAUCAUGCCUAAUGAUUCAUUGAUGAUCCUGUUUAUGUGUCUACACUGGUAGGUGAUUCUAUUAUGGUUGAUCGAGUCCAUCGUUCUUGUAUUGUGGUGAUCGGGGGUCUUGAGACUCGUGUAGAUUUGUUGCUUUUAGACAUUGUUGAUUUCGAUGUUAUAUUAGAGAUGGACUAGUUAUCACCUUACCACGCUAUCUUGGAUUGCCUCGCUAAGACUGUGACCUUAGCUUUACCGGGUAUGCCUCGUUUAGAGUGGAUAGGGACUCCUGGUCAUUCUAGCCGCAUUGUUAUCUUGUAUGUGAAGGCUCAGCGUAUGGUCGAGAAGGGGUGUUUGGCCUAUUUGGCGUAUGUUCACAAUUCUAGUGCUGAGGUUCCCUCUAUUGAUUUUGUGCCUAUUGUUCACGAUUUUCCUGAGGUAUUCCCUUCAGACCUGCCGAGGAUGCCACCCGAUAGGGAUAUUGACUUCUGCAUUGAUUUGGCUUCGGGCACUCAGCCCAUUUCUAUCCCGACGUAUCGCAUGGCCCUACCAGAGUUUAAAGAGUUGAAGGAGCAGUUGCAAGACUUGCUUGAGAAGGGUUUCAUUAGACCUAUGUUUCGCCGUGGGGUGCGCCGAUGUUGUUUGUUAAGAAGAAGGAUGGGUCAAUGAGAAUGUGUAUCGAUUACUGGUAGUUGAACAAGGUUACAAUCAAGAAUAAGUAUCCAUUGCCGAGGAUUGAUGAUUUAUUCGAUCAGCUUCAGGGUGCCAAGGUAUUUUCAAAGUUAGUCUUGAGAUCUGGCUACCAUCAGUUGAGGAUUAGGGCCUCCGAUGUCCUUAAGACAGCUUUUUGCACUCAGUACGGGCAUUAUGAGUUCUUGGUUAUGUUGUUCGGGUUGACAAAUGCACCAACAACCUUUAUGGAUUUGAUGAACCGAGUGUUCAGGCCUUAUUUGGACUCGUUCGUAAUCGUCUUCAUUGAUGAUAUUUUGAUAUAUUCCCGUAGCCAGGAGGAGCACAUGCAGUAUCUCAGAGUGAUUCUUCAGACUCUGAAGGAUAGUCAGUUAUAUGCUAUGUUCUCAAAGUGUGAGUUCUGGUUCAGUUCAGUUGCAUUCCUGGGUCAUGUUUGUGUCAGCAGAGGGUAUUCAGGUUGACCCGAAGAAGAUUGAGGCAGUCAAGAACUAGCCUAGAUGAGCAUCAGCUAUAGAGAUUCGGAAUUUCUUGGGAUUGGCAGGCUACUAUUGUCGGUUCGUGGAGGGUUUUUCAUCUAUUGCAGCCCCGAUGACCAGGUUAACCCAGAAGGGUGCCCAGUUCAGAUGGUCGGACGAGUGUGAGGUGAUCUUUCAGAAGCUCAAGACAGCUUUGACUAUAGCACCAGUGUUAGUUUUGCUCACAGGUUCAGGGCCUUACACAGUCUAUUGUGAUGCUUCCCGUAUUGGGCUUGGUGCAGUGUUGAUGCAGGAUGGCAAGGUCAUUGCCUANNNNNNNNNNNNNNNNNNNNNNNNNGGAGUUGGCAGCCAUUGUUCACGCAUUGAGGAUUUGGAGGCACUAUCUGUAUGGCGUGGCAUGUGAGGUGUUCACGGAUCAUAAGAGUCUUUAUUAUUUGUUCAAGCAAAAUGAGUUGAAUUUGAGGCAAAGGAGGGGGUUGGAGUUGUUGAAAGAUUAUGACAUCACUAUCUUAUAUCACCCGGGGAAGGCCAAUGUGGUGGCCGAUGCCUUGAGUAGGAAGUCAGCCAGUAUGGGUAGUCUUGCUUAUAUUCCGGUCUGUGAGAGACCACUUGCCUUGGAUGUUCAGGCUUUGGCCAAUCGGUUUGUGAGGUUGGAUAUUUCGGAGCCUAGUCAUGUAUUAGCUUGCUCGGUCGCUCGUUCUUUUUUAUUGGAGCAUAUCCGUGAUUGGCAGUAUGAUGAUCCUCAUUUGUGUGUCCUUAGAGACACGGUGCAACGUGGAGGUGCCAAGCAGGUUACCUUAGGUGAUGGGGUUUUGAGAUUGCAGGGUCGAGUUUGUGUGCCUAAUGUGGAUGGGCUUCGAGAGUUGAUUUUAGAAGAGGCCCAUAGCUCCAGGUACUCUAUUCAUCCAGGUACUGCAAAGAUGUAUUAGGAUUUGCGGCAGCAUUAUUGGUAGCGUAGAAUGAAGAAGGAUAUUGUUGCAUAUGUGGCUCGCUGUUUGAAUUGCCAGCAGGUUAAGUAUGAGCAUAAGAGGCCUGGUGGAUUGUUUCAGAGGAUUGAGCUUCCCGAGUGGAAGUGGGAGCGGAUCACUAUGGAUUUCGUUGUUGGGCUCCCGCAAACUCGGAGGAAGUUCGACACAGUAUGGGUCACUGUUGAUAGGCUGACCAAGUCAGCGCAUUUCAUUCCUGUGGCAGUCUCCUAUUCAUCCGAGAGGUUAGCUGAGAUCUAUAUCCAGGAGAUUGUUCGUCUUCAUGGUGUGCCUGUGUUUAUCAUUUCGGACGGAGGUAUGCAGUUUACCUCGCAUUUUUGGAGAGCAAUUCAGCGAGAGUUGGUCACUCAGGUGGAGUUGAGUACAACAUUUCAUCCCCAAACGGGCGGCCAGUCCGAGCAGACUAUUCAGAUUCUGGAGGAUAUGCUCCGAGCUUGUGUCAUUGAUUUUGGAGGCUCGUGGGAUCAGUUUUUGCCUUUAGCAGAGUUUGCCUAUAACAACAGCUACCAGUCGAGCAUCCAGAUGGAUCCUUAUGAGGCUUUGUAUGGUAAGCGAUGUCGAUCUCCGGUUGGAUGGUUUGAGCCGGGGGAGACUCGGUUGUUGGGUACGGAUCUGGUUCAGGAUUCCUUGGACAAGGUUAGGAUCAUUCAAGAUAGGCUUCGUACAACUCGGUCCAGAUGUGGAUUUCAUGGUUGGUGAGCGAGUAUUGCUCCGAGUGUCGCCUAUGAAGGGCGUGAUGAGAUUUGGGAAGAAGGGCAAGCUUAGCCCUAGGUUCAUUGUCCCGUUUUAGAUUAUUGAUCGAGUGGGAGAAGUAGCUUAUAGACUUGCAUUGCCGCCGAGCUUACUAGCCAUGCAUCCAGUAUUUCAUGUUUCCAUGCUCUGGAAGUAUCACGGCGAUCCAUCCCACGUGUUAGAUUUCAGCACUGUCCAGUUGGACAAGGACUUGUCUUAUGAGGAGGAGCCGAUGGCUAUUUUAGACCGGCAGGUUCAUCAGUUGAGGUCGAAGAGUUUUCCUUCUGUUCGUGUUCAGUGGAGAGGUCAGCCUCCGAGGCAUCGACCUAGGAGUCCGAGUCCGAUAUGCGGANNNNNNNNNNNNNNNNNNNNNNNNNAUCACCUAUUUUUAAUUGCAUUCUAUGCUUCCGAGGCCUUGAAAACCUCAUUUAGAGUCACCUCAAUUUGCGUGUGUAGUCCGGGCGCGUAGCCGGACAACUUAAAUAUGAAAUUCUAUAAAAUAAAUGAUGAAAUUUGAGUUUAAAAUGAAUAUAUUUGACUUCGGUCAACAUUUUAGGUAAACAGACCCGGACAAGUGAUUUGACGGUCCCGAAGGGUCCGUAGGAAAAUAUGGGACUUGGGUGUAUACCCGGAAUCGAAUUUCGAGUACCCGAGCACGAGAAAUGAAUUUUUUAAAGGAAAUUGUUUUUCUGAAAUUGUUAAGGAAAAUUGUAAUGAAAUUUGAUUAGAACGUGUUGGUAUCGGGCUCGUAUUUUGGUUCCGGCACCCGGUACAGGUCUUAUAUAUGAUUUAAGAUGUUUUUGUAAAGUUUGGUUAAAAUUGGACGUCGAUUAACGUGUUUCGGACUUGAAAUCCUAAAUUUGAAACUUGAUGAAGUAUUUGGAAAAAUUCUUGAUUUUGAGGUUUGAUUCAUUGUUUUUAAGGUUAUUUAGGUGAUUUGAUCGCACUGAUAGGUUCGUACUAUGAUGUUGAGUUAGUGCAUGUGUUUGGUUAGGAGCCCCGAGGGCUCGGGAGUAUUUCGGAGGUGUUUCGGAGUGGUUUUAGACUUAUGAAAGUUGCAGGUUUCCAGUUCUGGUAUGGUCUUCUACGCGUUCGCGGGAGAACCCUCGCGAACGCGAUUAGUAAAUUUGUUGAAGGAAAUUCCCUUCUACGCGAAUGCGUAGACCAGGUCGCGAACGCGAGGCAACGGGGGGCUAGCCCUUCGCGGACGCGUUCCUGGCUAUGCGAACGCGAAGGCGAAGUGCCUGGGUAGAACACCUUACGCGAACGCGACCCCCUAUCCGCGAACGUGAAGGCCAAAAAGCCUGACCCAUCGUGAACGCGAGAGGAAUAUCGCGAACGCAUAGAGUCAUUUUGCCCUGUUAUUUUAUAGUUCCAAAAUAGAACCACAAACGGGAUUUCAUAACAUUUUCAUAAACCCUUUCUUCUCCAAAGCUCCUAGGCGAUUUUUGAAGCAUUUCUUCACCAAAGUUUCUUGGGUAAGCAUUGUUUAACUCGUUUUCUUCAUUUUCCAUCAACAUCUAUUGAAAUUCUAUGCCUAAACGUGUAAUUAAGAGUAGAAAUUAGGGAAUUGGGUAGAGUUAGGGCUUUUUGAUUUUUCUUGAUUUAGACCUCAUUUUGGGGUCAAAUUUGAAAAUAAAUUAUAUAUUCGGGCGAAUGGGUGAUCGGGUUUAGGUCUGUACCUCGUGUUUUAACCAAGCGGGCCCGGGCUCAAUUUUUGGGAUUUUAGGAAGAAUGAUUGGAAAGUUAUAAUUGAACAUUGGAAUUGGAUUGUUUAGCACUUAUUGAUGAUAUUAAGUAAAUUGUGUAUAGAUUCGAUUGGGUUGGAGCCGAAUUUGAGAGGAAAACCGGUGUUCGAGGCUUGAGUUGGCCGUGGAAGUUCGAGGUAAAUGUUCGGUCUAACCUCAGCUUGAGGGAUUAGGAGUUAAGUCGUAUUUUCUACUUGCUUCUUGUUGAGUGCGAUGUAUAGGCAUGGUGACGAGUAUCUAUACGUUGCUAUCGAGCAUGACCGUGAGUCUUAAAUUUGACCAUUGUUGUGCUCUUAGAUGGCACUUCGGAUACUUUAAUUAAUGAUCUCCUAUAUUGAGUAAAGAUUGAUUUUAUCCUCGUAGAUCCUAGUUAUGAUUUAGUAUUGUCAUUAAUUGAGCUGAGUACAAAAUGAGUUAGGAUUUGGUUAUAGCUGAUUCUCCCUUCCCGGGAUGACUGUUUCGAUAUUGUUGUUCCCUUGCCGGGAAGUUAUUAUAUUGUAUUUGUUCCCUUGCCGGGAUUUCUUGAAAUUUUGUGAUCACUUGUAAAUGGGAGCGAGUGGUAUGCCUACCACAAGAUAUAAUGAAAUGGGAGCGGGUGGUACGCCUACCACAAGAUAUAAUGAAAUGGGAGCGGGUGGUACGCCUACCACAAGAUAAAAUGAAAUGGGAGCGGGUGGUACGCCUACCACAAGAUAUAAUAAAAUGGGAGCGGGUGGUAAGCCUAACACAAGAUAUGAUGAAAUGGGAGCGGGUGGUAUGCCUACCACGAGAUAUAAUGAAAGGGGAGCGGGUGGUACGCCUACCACGAGAUGAAACUGAAAGUGAAAGUUACCUUAUUUCUUUUUAUCCGUGUUAUAAGUUAAAUUGUAGUUUCCUUAUUAUUCUUUGAUAUUCUGUUUUAUCUGCUACCCCCGAAGCAUGUUCCCUUUCUCCAGCUUUGAUUGCUUAUUACCUGUUUACUUUUUCCGCCAUAUAUUAUAUAACUGCACAGGUUUAUCUGGAGUCUGGUCCUAGCCUCGUCACUACCUCUCCGGGGUUAGGCCAGACACUUUCCAGCACAUGGGGUCAGUUGUGAUGAUACUACACUCUAUACUCUGUGCAGAUACCGGAGUAGCUUUUGAUCAGCAGCAGUAGCUCGAGAGCCAGCCUUAAGUCCACUGAGACACCGAGGUAGUCUUGCAGGCGUCCGCAGGCCCCGACAUCUCCUCUAUCUUAUUUCAUAUUCUGUUAUCUCAUGUAUUCGAGACAAACAAUGCUAUAUUUCUUUCAAACG